rnacentral:misc_RNA from 1 species
UAUCUCUCCUAUACCAAUUUGUUUUGGAAUCAUAUAGGGACUUGGGGUCUGUAUCGUCGGAAACUUUUAUAGGCAACCGGUGAACCCUUUAAAUACAGUAAGCUCCCAUCAGUACUCCAAAACUUAUGGAAAUACGCAAACUUGGGGAUGGCGUCGUAGCAAUCACUUUUAACGGUAUUGUCGAAGCGCCUAUACAUACCUCUAAACUGCGGUGCUAAUCCAUAAACGCUGACUUGGGUGAAGCUUAACGACUGGCAAAGUGCCAUGCUCCACUACUAUAUUCCGGAGCAACACGAACAU